rnacentral:rRNA from 1 species
GACAGAGGGCUCAAACGUUGUUCGGAAUUACUGGGCAUAAAGCGCACGCAGGCGGCUUGCUAAGUCGGGUGUGAAAUCCCUUGGCUCAACCGAGGAACUGCAUUCGAUACUGGUAGGCUCGAGGACGGGAGGGGUAAGCGGAACUCCAGGUGGAACGGUGAAAUGUGUAGAUAUCUGGAGGAACACCGGUGGCGAAAGCGGCUUACUGGCCCGUAUCUGACGCUCAUGUGCGAAAGCUAGGGGAGCAAACGGGAUUAGAUACCCCGGUAGUCCUAGCUGUAAACGAUGGGCACUGGGCAGUGGGAUUCCUAUGAUUCUCCCUGCCGUAGCAAAUGUGUUAAGUGCCCCGCCUGGGGAGUACGUUCGCAAGGAUAAA